GGAGCCUCAUGACUUCUAAGGAAGGGGGUGCGGGGGACCAGCUGAAGAUACAAAUGCCUGAGUGGUGGGGACUCCUAAGAAAGGCUAUGGUAGACAGGAUGCUUCCAGGGCAUGUUGUCCUGAACAGUCACAGUAACAGAAAACGCUUGGAGAGUCCGUAAACGGCCGAGAAAUUUUAUUUAACAUUCGUUCGAGCAGCCAGUGUUCUCCAAAGUCUUGAGUUUCUGAGGCUGUGGGAGCACAAACACACACGCUGUGGGCCCUGUAACCACAGAAGACGGGGUGAGGUGAGCUCCAUGGGCAGCAGGCAAGCAGGAGAGCAACUCUCUCAGAAGUUUACCCACAAGGAACGGGGUGUAAAUGUGGAGAGAAGUCUGAGGAGGACAAGGGAUGACUUCACCCACUGAACGUUCAUCCACAUGUCAAGCACUGAAAGUUCUUUCUAGCUUCAGCAGGAGCUAACGAUGCAGAGAGCAGAUGGAGCAGAGAAAUGCUGCUGUCACCACAGACCUGCUGUCACCAACCUGUCACCAAGCUGCUACCACAGACCUGCUGCCACCACAGACCUGCUGUCACCACAGACCUGCUGUCACCAAGCUGCCACCAAGCUAGCGGAGAGCUCCCUGCUCACUGCAGGAAGAUGGGUAGGCUUGCUCACCACCAGCUGCACCUGGAGGAGGCAGCUCCUGAAGGAGCACACAGCCCACACCAGGGCAAGGGAAAGAUGCCAAGAUUUCAUUGGGACAAAGGAAGUCGCUCUACAGAACAUUGCUUGUCAGAUCUCCACACAGUGACUCGGCCAACUCGUCUUACGGAACAGGCAGCUGCCGAGUGGUGCUCGGGCAUCCCAUGGGCUGCUGUCUUCCUUAAGGAUGGA